rnacentral:rRNA from 1 species
UACCAGCACCCCGAGUGGUCGGGACGAUUAUUGGGCCUAAAGCAUCCGUAGCCGGUCCUACAAGUCUUCCGUUAAAUCCGCCUGCUUAACAGAUGGGCUGCGGAAGAUACUAUAGGGCUAGGAGGCGGGAGAGGCAAGCGGUACUCAGUGGGUAGGGGUAAAAUCCUCUGAUCCAUUGAAGACCACCAGUGGCGAAGGCGGCUUGCCAGAACGCGCUCGACGGUGAGGGAUGAAAGCUGGGGGAGCAAACCGG